GCUCUUCAGAUCUGGAAACUGACUUGUGAAGUGUCAAGCAGAAGGCUUUGGCUCCCUUCUCCCCCCUUCGUAGCUGUGUACAGGUGUGAAG